AACAGAGGGGGCAAGCGUUGCUCGGAAUUACUGGGCGUAAAGGGCGCGUAGGCGGGAUGGCAAGUCGGUCGUGAAAUCCCUCGGCUCAACCGAGGAACGUCGAUCGAUACUGCUGUUCUUGAGGAUUGCAGAGGAGACUGGAAUUCCCGGUGUAGCGGUGAAAUGCGCAGAUAUCAGGAGGAACACCGGUGGCGAAGGCGGGUCUCUGGGCAGUAACUGACGCUGAGGAGCGAAAGCGUGGGGAGCGAACAGG
rnacentral:rRNA from 1 species